GACGAACGCUGGCGGCGUGCUUAACACAUGCAAGUCGAACGGAAAGGCCCUGCUUUCAGGGUACUCGAGUUGCGAACGGGUGAGUAACACGUGGGUGGUCUGCCCUGCACUUCGGGAUAGGCCUGGUAAACUGGGUCUAAUACCGGAUAGGAGCCAUUUUUAGUGUGAUGGUUGGAAAGUUUUUUCGGUGUUUGAUGAGCUCUCUGCCUAUCAGCUUGUUGGUGGGGUAAUGGCCUACCAAGGCGGCGGCGGGUAGCCGGACUGAGAGGGUGGACGGCCAUAUUGGCACUGACAGACGGCCCCGACACCUACGGGAGGGAGCAGUGGGGAAGAUUGCAGAAUGGGCGCAAGCCUGAUGAAGAGACGCUGCGUGGGGGAUGACGGCCUUAGGGUUGUAAACUACUUUCGCUAGGGACGAAGCUUUUUGUGACGGUACCUAGAUAAGAAGCACCGGCUAACUACGUG
rnacentral:rRNA from 1 species